UACGGAGGGAGCUAGCGUUAUUCGGAAUUACUGGGCGUAAAGCGCACGUAGGCGGCUUUGUAAGUAAGAGGUGGAAAGCCCCAGGAGCUCAACUCUGGAAUUGCCUUUUAGACUGCAUCGCUUGAAUCAUGGAGAGGUCAGUGGAAUUCCGAGUGUAGAGGUGAAAUUCGUAGAUAUUCGCAAGAACACCAGUGGCGAAGGCGGCUCACUGGCCCGGUACUGACGCUGAGGUGCGAAAAGCGUGGGGAGCAAACAGG
rnacentral:rRNA from 1 species